AUACCGGCGGCUCGAGUGGUGGCCACUUUUAUUGGGCUUAAAGCGUUCGUAGCUGGGUUGUUAAGUCUCUUGGGAAAUCCGACGGCUUAACCGUCGGGCGUCUAAGAGAUACUGGCAAUCUUGGAACCGGGAGAGGUGAGGGGUACUUCGGGGGUAGGAGUGAAAUCCUGUAAUCCUCGAGGGACCACCUGUGGCGAAGGCGCCUCACCAGAACGGCUUCGACAGUGAGGGACGAAAGCUGGGGGAGC
rnacentral:rRNA from 1 species